GCUGGAUGAGGCGAGAAGGGAACUGGCAGGGAGAGAGAGAGGGCAGAAGUUGGAUGGCGCUAUCCUUUGUCGCCGUAUUUCGGCACACAAACAGCUGCCGAGCGUCUCCGUGAUCCGUGAAAUUACACCUUUGCCGCUGUUUCACGCCGUGGUGGCUCCUCGGUGUCAUCCGACAAACGAUCUGCAGCCCCGCGGACAGGAUGAUGGAAGAAUCGGUGACCACAUUUGAGACGCAUCUGACCGCCGUCAUGGACAGCCUGAUCCGUGCCUCGGUGUGCGAGAUCACCAAACUCUUCCAGGAGACAGUGAACGACUACCUGGUGGAGCUGUCCCUCAACAGGAAGGAGAACGAGGCUCUCAAACUGCGGCUGAGGCUCACAGAGAGCAAACUGAGAACCGAGCGCAAGUACGGCAUGGGCUGGGCUGCCAACCGCCGCAACGCCGGGCUGGUGGCGGCAGCAGCACCGGUGGAGGAAGCUGGAGGCCGGCAGAAGCGAAAACUUGACGUGACUCUCUAGGUGCAGUUUAUGUGAAGACGCACUUGUUUUGUUGGAAAACCAUCUGGCAAGAGCUGAUCUCUCCCUCCCUCCUCCUUCCUCACCCCCCUUCCUCCUCCGCCUCCUCUUCAUGAUCGCUC
ensembl:lncRNA